rnacentral:misc_RNA from 1 species
CCUCCUUUCUAAGGAAACAAUUAUCAUCUUCAGUUUUGAGAGACUCAUAAGAAAGUUUUUCAUUGUCACUUGCUUGCAAAUUGUAUUUGCAACAUUUUAAUCUUUUUUGAAGAUUAAGGGCCUAUAGCUCAGUUGGUUAGAGCACACGCCUGAUAAGCGUGAGGUCGGUACGGUUCAAGUCCAUUUAGGCCCACCAUAACCACAAAUAGGCAAAAUCUUAAAAAAGCUCUUUCUGAAAAGUAGAUAAACGAAGGUUAAAAAAUCAAAGGAA